CUUGUUUUAAAUUUAAUUGGAUUGUUGUAAUCGACAUAUAACGAUGUCUUUAAAUUUGAGACCAUCGGAGAUCCAUUUCUCCCAAGAUACGAUAUUUAACCGCUUUCGGAACACACAAAAUAUUGGAAACGUUUUGGAUAACAUUUUUGAGAGAAGAUUGCAGGUUGAUGACCUGCCUCGUAUAACGGUGGCGAGACACGAUGGCCGCUGGUUUUCAGCAGAUAACAGACGCCUCUGGAUAUUCAAGAAAUUGCAAAAAUUGGGCAGAUGCAGUAGCAUCGAAGUUAUAGAGAUAUCUGAAAUUCCUUCGAACAAGAUGACCACUAAAAAUGAAGGCAUAUCGGUCGAAAUUAUCGGUGGUGACAUCGAGGGUAAAUGGGGGAAAUUUUGAUGAACACGGUCUUUGUUUUAACUGUACACAUUCCAACAAUGCAAUGGUAAAUAACCAUUCUACCAAUAAUUAAUUCAAUAGAGCAACGAGCAGUGUCUUACGGACAAUCAUGGAGAGGCAUACACGGUCAGAACACAAAAAGGCAUAAACAGCCAACUAUUGUAAUCAAUACAUUAUACAAUAUUUAGUUAUGACAAAAAUCAGAUGUCUUACUAUUUUUCAUUUAAAAAAAUGCUUUUUAAAUAUCAGAUGUCACAUGUUUAAUUGUGUGUGUACCUUGAGGGCCAUCAUAGAAAUAAGAACCUAAGUAUUGUCCUUGGUAUGUGUGUGUGUGUGUGUAUGUGUGUGUGUGUGUGUGUGUGUGUGUGUGCGUGUUUGUGUGUGUGUGUGUGUGUGACAUUGUUCAUUUUUGAUAUUAAAUUGUGAUAUAUUUAUAAUACCCAUAUAAACCAUAGUUGAUCCAAAUUGGCAAUAUUUACUAUGAUAUAGCAUGUGUAUAUUUUUUUGUUAUGUUUUUUGCAUGUGUAUUUUUUACCAUUAGAUACAUGUGCAUAUUUAUCAUGACAAUUGCGAUACUUUUUACAAGAAUAUUCGAGAACGCUGACAAUUGUACACUUUACCUGAUAGUAUUAAAAGCCCAUACUGUAUACAUGAUUUACAAGAACGAAAGUAGAAGCUAUAAAUAUAUUUUCUAAAAUUAUCUUUUCAAAAAUAUUUAUAAAUAACAAAGCAUGAUUAAUCUAACACAUGCAUAAAGUCUAUGUAUAUAUCAUAAUUAAAACUGAAAUACUUAGGAUAACGUACAAAAAAACCGAAAGAACUAAUAUUUACAAUACAAGCCUUAUGGGUACAUGCAUUAAGGAUUGGAGCAUUGCCAAUUGCAGGUUGAUGACCUUCCCUGUAUAGAGGUAGCCUACCACGAUGGCCGCUGGUUUUCAGCAGAUAACAGACGUCUCUGUAUAUUCAAGAAAUUGCACAAACUGGGCAGAUGCAGACGUAUCGAAGUUACAGAGAUAUCUGAAAUUCCUUUUAACAAAAUGACCACAAAAGAUAAAGGCAGAACGAUCGAAAUCGUCGGUGGUGACAUCGAGGGAAAAUGGGGCAAUCUUUAAUGAACAGAGUCGUUUUUUUAACCGUACACAUUAUAACAAUACAGUGGUAAAUGACCAUCCGGCAACAUAUUUAAUUCAAUAGCGCAACAAUCAGUGUCUUACCGAAAAUCAUGGAGAGGCAUACACUGUAAAAACACAAAAAGGCAUAAACUGUAAACUAUGGUAAUCAAUACAUUAUACAAUAUUGAGUCAUGACAAAAAUCAGAUAUCUUACUAUUUUUCCGUUUAAAAAACGUGAUUGUUUUAAAUAUCAGAUGUCACAUGUUUAAUUAUGUGUGUACCUUUAGGGCCACAAUGGAAAUAAGAACCUAAGUAUUGUCCUUGGUAAGUGUGUGUGUGUGUGCGUG